UACAGGGGGUGCAAACGUUGCUCGGAAUCAUUGGGCGUAAAGCGCACGUAGGCGGUCUGUUACGUCGGAUGUGAAAGCCCUUGGCUCAACUGAGGAAGUGCAUCCGAAACUGGCAGGCUAGAGUACGAAAGAGGAUCGCGGAAUUCCCGGUGUAGAGGUGAAAUUCGUAGAUAUCGGGAGGAACACCGGUGGCGAAGGCGGCGAUCUGGGUCGAUACUGACGCUGAGGUGCGAAAGCGUGGGGAGCAAACAGG
rnacentral:rRNA from 1 species